AUUGAACGCUGGCGGCAGGCCUAACACAUGCAAGUCGAACGAGUGGCGGACGGGUGAGUAAUGUCUGGGAAACUGCCUGAUGGAGGGGGAUAAAUACUGGAAACGGUCGCUACUACCGCAUACCAUCAGAUGUGCCCAGUUGGGAUUAGCUAGUUGGUGGGGGAACGGCUCACCAAGGCGACGAUCCCUAACUGGUCUGAGAGGAUGACCAGCAACACUGGAACUGAGACACGGUCCAGACUCCUACGGGAGGCAGCAGUGGGGAAUAUUGCACAAGGGGGGCAAGCCUGAUGAAGCCAUGCCGCGUGUAUGAAGAGGGCCUUCGGGUUGUAAAGUACUUUCAGCGGGGAGGCGUUACCCGCAGAAGAAGCACCGGCUAACUCCGUGCCAGCAGCCGCGGUAAUAC
rnacentral:rRNA from 1 species